AGACCUGCAGGACUCUAUCCAACAUCUUCUGAAUGCAACCCAGAUACUUUCAUUAAGCUAAGACCUU
rnacentral:tRNA from 1 species